GACGAACGCUGGCGGCGUGCUUAACACAUGCAAGUCGAGCGGAAAGGCCCUUCGGGGUACUCGAGCGGCGAACGGGUGAGUAACACGUGAGUAAUCUGCCCUUCACUCUGGGAUAGCCACCGGAAACGGUGAUUAAUACCGGAUACGACCAAUCCCUGCAUGGGGUGUUGGUGGAAACUUUUUUGGGUGGGGGAUGUGCUCGCGGCCUAUCAGCUUGUUGGUGGGGUAAUGGCCUACCAAGGCUUCGACGGGUCGCCGGCCUGAGAGGGUGACCGGCCACACUGUGUCUGGGGAACGGCCCAGGCGGCUACGGGAGGCAGCAGGGGGGAAUAUUGGACAAUGGGCGGAAGCCUGAUCCAGCAACGCCGCGUGAGGGAUGACGGCCUUCGGGUUGUAAACCUCUUUCAGCACCGACGAAGCGCAAGUGACGGUAGGUGCAGAAGAAGGACCGGCCAACUACGUGCCAGCCGCCGCCGUAACAC
rnacentral:rRNA from 1 species